AGCAACUGUAAGUGUCAACCGUAAACACGGAUAAACACUGCAGGCUAAUCGCAGCAACCACAGUUUGCAGCUUAUACGGACCAAAUCAGAGAAAACUUUAAAGAAGUUGACUAAGCUGGUUAACGAACCUGGAGCAGCAGUAAACCCAGAGAGAAGAACAGAGUCUGACAAACUGCAGUUCCUGUGCUGAUAGAUGCUGG